AAAUAAUUAUUUAAAUUAAGUGAAAACAGAAUAAACAAGAAUACUGCUGUUAGCACAAAUGGAAUCAUGGCCUCAAAUGAUUUGUGUUGGUGGGACUAGUAAUUAUUCUCUUUGUGUGUUGUCUAAAUGAAAGAAGGCCAUUUGUGAAUCAAACUACAGUCAUGCUUUUCUAAUAAUGGUGGUUGCCUUACCAUCUGAAGGAUAGCAUUCAUGGGUAGGCUCUGUGGAAAGGACUGGUGCUUGUACACACUAAUAAAAUAGUUAUUUCACUAGCACUUUCUCUUGAAACACAAAUGGCACGUACAUACACAAAUGUACUCACACACAGAGAUUCUCUUUUUGUAGCCAGUAAUGCUUGCUUUCCAAUUCAAACAACAAUUAGCACUCCUGCAUUGGAAUAGGCAUUUUAAGGUACUAUAUACCUUCUGUGAAUAUAAACCAUCUUUUUCAUCUUUGUAUCUCUAAACUCUAAUAGACUGCUUGGCCCAUAACAUGAGCCAAAAAAUACUGUAUGAUGAAUGGACUUAAUAAAUAAAUAAAUGGGUAGAAUACACAUACUUCACUCAAGGAGUUUUGAGCAUUGAGAAUACUAUAUGUGUUUGAAUACUUGAGAUUUGUGCCAUUAGUGAUAUUUCUUUCCUGAUAAGUACAGUAGUAUUUAAUAAGAAGGGAAGGAUUUUGCCCAAAACAUUACUAUCCUGGAGACUGUAAUAAAGUUGCAUGAAGCCUCAGAAAAGAACCAGACAGACCAUCAUCAUAUUAAAAUUUUGAAGAAGGUUUGGAGGAGAGCAUCAGUGUUUUAGCAAAGCAAAUGAUCAUUUAUCAUUUGGAGGCAUUUAUUAAGUGCAGUACUGGAAACAAAUGUGAUAGAAUAUGAAAAACUAUGGCAUUUUUUUUCCUUGGCAGGAAAAGCUCAAAUGAAGUUUUGGUUAAUUGUUUGAGGUUAUCAAGAAAUGCAUCUUAAAAAAUACUUUUAACAGGAAUGCUCUGAUGGCACACUUGAGAAGUAGGAAGCCCACAGCUUAUAGUGAUGCAUGGCUAUUUACCAUAAACAACGUAAUCCAAUUUAGCUGCUUCAUCAGAAAAUUUGAAAGUAUUGCUUCUCCUCAUAUGAUGCUGCAGUUUUGAAUGACCAUCUAUAUGGAUAAAUGGCUGGUGAGAGAUCCCACUUCAUUCUCUGCAUGAAUAAGAGAUCUUACCGCAGAUUUGUGGAACAAACCUUGUGAUGUGGAUAGAGAAAAUCAUGUAGAGAGAAGAGGACAAAAAUCACUGCCAUUACCCAAACAGAUAUAUGGGGGCUUCCUGCUACCACAUUUUCUGGAAAGUGUAACUUAGGGGGCUGUUAUGGCCUAAAGUCUCUUCCCUUCCCUCUGUAUUCAUAUAUUAGAAAGCCUAAUCCUUAGUACUUCAGAAUGUGACUUAUUAAGAUAUAGGGUCUUUAAAGGGGCAAUUAGGUUGAAAUGAGGCUUUUAUAGUGGGACCUAAUCCAAUCUAACUGGUUUUCUUAUAAGAAGCAUAAAUUUGGACACACAAAUCAGUACCAGGAAAGAGUGUGAACAGAGAAAUGAUUAUGGGAAGUGACACAAGAGGUUGGCCAUCUAUAAGCCAGGGAGAGAGGCCUCAGAGGAAACCAAACCUGAUGACACCUUGAUCUGGGCCCUCCUAAGCCUCCGAACUAUGAGAAAAUAAACUUCUGUUAUUUAAGCUACCCA
rnacentral:lncRNA from 13 species